rnacentral:rRNA from 1 species
UACCGUGAAACUGCGAAUGGCUCAUUAAAUCAGUUAUCGUUUAUUUGAUAGUACCUUACUACUUGGAUACCCGUGGUAAUUCUAGAGCUAAUACAUGCAAAAAACCCCGACUUCGGGAGGGGUGUAUUUAUUAGAUAAAAAACCAAUGCCCUUCGGGGCUCUUUGGUGAUUCAUGAUAACUUAACGGAUCGCAUGGCCUUGCGCCGGCGACGGUUCAUUCAAAUUUCUGCCCUAUCAACUUUCGAUGGUAAGGUAUUGGCUUACCAUGGUUUCAACGGGUAACGGAUUUUUAGGGAAAGAUCCCGGAGAGGGAGCCUGAGAAACGGCUACCACAUCCAAGGAAGGCAGCAGGCGCGCAAAUUACCCAAUCCCGACACGGGGAGGUAGUGACAAUAAAUACUGAUACAGGGCUCUUUUGGGUCUUGUAAUCGGAAUGAGUACAAUUUAAAUACCUUAACGAGGAACAAUUGGAGGGCAAGUCUGGUGCCAGCAGCCGCGGUAAUUCCAGCUCCAAUAGCGUAUAUUAAAGUUGUUGCAGUUAAAAAGCUCGUAGUUGAACCUUGGGCCUGGCUGGCCGGUCCGCCUCACCGCGUGUACUGGUCCGGCCGGGCCUUUCCUUCUGGAGAACCCCAUGCCCUUCACUGGGCGUGGCGGGGAACCAGGACUUUUACUUUGAGAAAAUUAGAGUGUUCAAAGCAGGCCUUUGCUCGAAUACGUUAGCAUGGAAUAAUAGAAUAGGACGUGUGGUUCUAUUUUGUUGGUUUCUAGAACCGCCGUAAUGAUUAAUAGGGAUAGUC